GAUGAACGCUGGCGGCGUGCCUAAUACAUGCAAGUCGAGCGAAUGGAUUAAGAGCUUGCUCUUAUGAAGUUAGCGGCGGACGGGUGAGUAACACGUGGGUAACCUGCCCAUAAGACUGGGAUAACUCCGGGAAACCGGGGCUAAUACCGGAUAACAUUUUGAACCGCAUGGUUCGAAAUUGAAAGGCGGCUUCGGCUGUCACUUAUGGAUGGACCCGCGUCGCAUUAGCUAGUUGGUGAGGUAACGGCUCACCAAGGCAACGAUGCGUAGCCGACCUGAGAGGGUGAUCGGCCACACUGGGACUGAGACACGGCCCAGACUCCUGCGGGAGGCAGCAGUAGGGAAUCUUCCGCAACGGACGAAAGCCUGACGGAGCAACGCCGCGUGAGUGAUGAAGGCUUUCGGGUCGUAAAACUCUGUUGUUAGGGAAGAACAAGUGCUAGUUGAAUAAGCUGGCACCUUGACGGUACCUAACCAGAAAGCCACGGCUAACUACGUGCCAGCCGCCGCGGUAA
rnacentral:rRNA from 1 species